UACGAAGGGGGCUAGCGUUGCUCGGAAUCACUGGGCGUAAAGCGCACGUAGGCGGCUUUCUAAGUCAGGGGUGAAAUCCUGGAGCUCAACUCCAGAACUGCCUUUGAUACUGGAGAGCUUGAGUCCGGGAGAGGUGAGUGGAACUCCGAGUGUAGAGGUGAAAUUCGUAGAUAUUCGGAAGAACACCAGUGGCGAAGGCGGCUCACUUGCCCGGUACUGACGCUGAUGUGCGAAAGCGUGGGGAGCAAACAGG
rnacentral:rRNA from 1 species